CCUUCUCACAGUGUCUUAUUUUACUUCUGUAUGUUUUUGCUGCUAGAAUUGUUAGAGUCUUUUAUGUUGUAAUAUUUUUUGUUGGGUUUUUGGACUUUUCUGUCAGUUUAAAUAAAGGCAUCUUUUCAGUUUAUCCUGUUGCCUUAAUAGUCCACGUUUGGGUCCUCCUCCAUGACAGCUACACUAAGAAUAAUACAGAAACAAAUUGAAAAUGUAUCUAAAGGGUAGGCUUUUCUUUUUUCUUUACAAAAAAUGUGUUUUCUAUAUAUCUACUUCUUGAAAUGCCUCCACUAGGAGAGUUCGGUACGAAGUGGGUGAGAGGAGAGCUGCUCAAUGACCAUGUAUUCGAGAAGGGGUGUCUACAUUUCAGCAGUCCUGUACUUAUUUCUGGAUGGACUGGCUCAAGAUGAACCUACUCUUAAGUGGUGUACUGUACGCUCCUUUGCAGCAUGACAUCUGCCACACGGCUGACCUGAGAGCUACGCUGUCACUUGCUGUCCACCUCCAAACCCAGCAUCCACUUGUUGCCUCUGAGUCAACCUUCCUCUAGG